CUGAACACACUUUGGUUAUUUCUUUUGGGGCUCUAGCAGGACUCCUAUGCUGCACUGUUCUAGCCAUGAUCAUCAUAUUUCGGAUAUAUGUGAAGAGGAGAAACACAGAUACUCCUUUCUUCAGGAACAUUUCAAGAACAAUCAACAGCACCAAUGCUACGUACAGUGAGAUAGAUGACAGUUCAGUUUCACCAUCACGGCCAACGAGACCUGCUUUACCUCUGAAAGAAAUCCCCAAGAAAAGGAGGGCUGUCUUGGAUGCAUCGGCGCUUCCCGAGAUGGAGAGUGUUUUUUGCUGUGAGUCGAUCCAGAAUGAAUGUGAUGCUGAUGUAGCCAUGUCUGAACAAAUCCAUCACCUGACUGAAAAGACUGAUUCAAUAAUCUUUAUUGAAGAAAACUGUGAUUUGUCAAAUGUCAAUGUAAGAUAUCUUACAACGGACACACAAACAUAACCCAGGAUGUGAAUGAAACGUUUGAGGAGUGAGCGUUUUUUGAGAAAUGAACUCUUUACUUAUCUUCAUAAACAUGAAGCUUGAACAUCAGUUUGUCACAAUGCCUGGUCUGAUGCAACUGUUCGUCACAAAACAAAACAAAUCCAACUUAAAUUAGGGCCAUCCUUAUUUCAAGUGUACAUGAAUAAUGUAACAACUUUCAAAACUAUCUGUAUCACUGGAUGCUUCGCCUAUGAUACAUUGAUUGGAACUUCAACAACUGAUACGGCUGAAAUU